CUUGGUCAUUUAGAGGAAGUAAAAGUCGUAACAAGGUUUCCGUAGGUGAACCUGCGGAAGGAUCAUUAUCGUACAAAAUGUGUGAGGCAUGCAAGGGCUGUCGCUGACUUUUUAAUCACAAAAAGUCGUGCACGCCGGAGCGUGUCCUCUCGCAUAAAAUCCAUCUCACCCUUUUGUGCACCACCGCGUGGGCACCCUUUGGGAUCGAACCGAUCCAGGAGGGCGCUUGCGUUUUCACACAAACCCCCUUAUAAAAGUGUAGAAUGACCCCAUUUUUGCGAUAACACGCAAUCAAUACAACUUUCAACAACGGAUCUCUUGGCUCUCGCAUCGAUGAAGAACGCAGCGAAAUGCGAUACGUAAUGUGAAUUGCAGAAUUCAGUGAAUCAUCGAAUCUUUGAACGCACCUUGCGCCCCUUGGUAUUCCGAGGGGCACACCCGUUUGAGUGUCGUGAAAAUCUCAACCUCCUCGGUUUCUUCUGGACGCCGAAGGAGGCUUGGACUUUGGAGGCCUUUGCUGGCGUCUCUCGCCAGCUCCUCUCAAAUGAAUUAGCGGGGUCCUCUUUGCCGAUCCUCGACGUGUGAUAAGAUGUUUCCAUGUCUUGGUUUCUGGCUCUGUCGCCUUUGGGACCCGCUUCUAACCGUCUCAAGUCGAGACAACGUUUGAGCGUGUCUCCCUUCUCGGGAAACACCCUCGAGCCCACGAACCCUUGACCUCAAAUCGGGUGAGACUACCCGCUGAACUUAAGCAUAUCAAUAAGCGGAGGAA
rnacentral:rRNA from 1 species